GCUCAGCUUCACAGAGCCCAUUUCAUGCUCAGAGCCCUGCCAGGGAGCCAGCCAGCUCCUCUUCUCCCUCAUCCAGUUGUCCUUGCCACCUGCAGGACCCAGAGGUGUUUUUGUCAUCCACAGCAGCACCAGGGCUGAAAUGAGUCUGCUCAAGGGCUCAGGUUGACCUUGAGAAUGGAAAAUCAAUCCCAGACUGACCUCAGCCCACAGACAUGACCAGCCUGGGACCUUCAGCUGCACCUCCUGGGAAUGCUGGGACUUUCUGGAGAGUCCUUAGGCAGGCAAUAAACUCUGCACCCCUGGUUAGCAGGCAAGGACCAGGCACUGAGAACAACCCCCUGUGGGUUCUGAUGGCUGAGGCCUUCUCCCUCUGCAUUCAGCUUUCAUGGUGUUUGGAAUGAACGCUGCCUGCAUUCUUCUGCUGAAAUAAAAAGCAAAUUUCCAUAGUAAUGUAAUUAGGAUGUGGGUCACAGGUUGUUAUAUAGCAAGACAGACAUUAUUUAACAUUGCAGAAAAUCCUGUGCAAGGAUUUUAUCAAGAAAGUCCAUUUGUUUUUAAAAACCCUUAAUCAAUAAAUCCUAAUUAAAAUCA